CCUACGGGGGGCAGCAGUAGGGAAUCUUCGGCAAUGGACGGAAGUCUGACCGAGCAACGCCGCGUGAGUGAAGAAGGUUUUCGGAUCGUAAAGCUCUGUUGUAAGAGAAGAACGAGUGUGAGAGUGGAAAGUUUACACUGUGACGGUAUCUUACCAGAAAGGGACGGCUAACUACGUGCCAGCAGCCGCGGUAAUACGUAGGUCCCGAGCGUGGUCCGGAUUUAGUGGGCGUAAAGCGAUGGCGGGGGGUUAGAUAAGUCUGAAGUUAAAGGCUGGGGCUUAACCAUAGUACGCUUUGGAAACUGUUUGACUUGAGUGCAGGAGGGGAGAGUGGAAUUCCAUGUGUAGCGGUGAAAUGCGUAGAUAUAUGGAGGAACACCGGUGGCGAAGGCGGCUCUCUGGCUUGUAACUGACGCUGAGGCUCGAAAGCGUGGGGAGCAAACAGGAUUAGAUACCCCUGUAGUC
rnacentral:rRNA from 1 species